AAUGGAAUUAGUGUGAGCUAGCUUCAGGUAACCUCAUCAGUCAUUUCCUUUCCUUCCUGUCUUUUGUUUCUUCCCUUGGGUUUCAUUUUUUCUGGACUGGAGAUUUUUCUAAGCCUCACAUUUGUGCAAGAAAUGCACAGAACCUUGGAACAGACAGAAAUUAUUUGGUAUUGUGAAAGUUUAUUUGAUUAUAUCACCUAAUUCUUAUUCCUGAUAUGCCCUAGCCAUCAUCACCAUGAAUGUAGUUGACACAUGGUUUUCAUCAAUGCAUUUAUCGUCUCUGUGUGGAUGGACAAGACAGAUGAGUGGAUGAAAGGACCAUAGAGGAUGAAGAAGCUGAGUAUCCUUUGUACAACAUGUGCUUUAGGAACUUGGCCCCACAGCUGAGAAGGAAGACAUCUGGAUGACUUUGUUCCCAUGAAUGAGAAAAAAUGACAGCUAAAAGAUCAUAGUGCCAACUUUCACCCAGUAAAGAAAAUCUCUAUCUGAUAUUUCUGUUAUAUUGCGGCCAGAAAAUAAAUCCACCAAAUGUU